rnacentral:rRNA from 1 species
UACAGAGGUCCCAAGCGUUGUUCGGAUUCACUGGGCGUAAAGGGUGCGUAGGCGGUCGGGUAAGUCUGAUGUGAAAUCUCAGAGCUCAACUCUGAAACUGCAUUGGAUACUAUUCGGCUUGAGGUCUGGAGGGGGGAUUGGAAUUCUCGGUGUAGCAGUGAAAUGCGUAGAUAUCGAGAGGAACACCAGUGGCGAAGGCGAGUCCCUGGACAGGUCCUGACGCUGAGGCACGAAAGCUAGGGGAGCAAACAGG